rnacentral:rRNA from 1 species
CCUACGGGUGGCAGCAGUAGAGAAUCAUUCACAAUGGGGGAAACCCUGAUGGAGCGACGCCGCGUGGGGGAAUGAAGGUCUCCGGAUUGUAAACCCUGGUCAGGUGGGAGCAAAGUAACAAGAUAGUACCACAAGAGGAAGAGACGGCCAACACUGGGACAGCAGCCGCUGUAAGCCGGAGGUCUCAAGCGUUGAUCGGAAUCACUGGGCGUAAAGCGUGUGAAGGCGGUUUCGUAAGUCGUGUGUGAAAGUCGCGGGCUCAACCCGCGGACGGCUCAUGAGACUGGCAGACUGGAGUGAUGGAGAGGGAAGCGGAAUUCUCGGUGUAGCGGUGAAAUGCGUAGAUAUCGGGAAGAACACCAGUGGCGAAGGCGGCUUCCUGGCCUGUAACUGACGCUGAGGCACGAAAGCGUGGGGAGCGAACAGGAUUAGAUACCCGAGUAGUC